CCUGACCUCGAUUCGAACGUGAAUACCCGCUG
rnacentral:rRNA from 1 species